rnacentral:rRNA from 1 species
GAUGAACGCUAGCGGCAGGCUUAAUACAUGCAAGUCGAGGGACAGCACAGGUAGCAAUACUGGGUGGUAACCGGCAAACGGGUGCGGAACACGUACACAACCUUCCUUUAAGUGGGGGAUAGCCCAGAGAAAUUUGGAUUAAUACCCCGUAAUAUAGUUGAAUGGCAUCAUUUGAUUAUUAUAGCUACGGCGCUUAAUGAUGGGUGUGCGGCUGAUUAGAUAGUUGGCGGGGUAACGGCCCACCAAGUCUACGAUCAGUAGCUGAUGUGAGAGCAUGAUCAGCCACCCGGGCACUGAGAGACGGGCCCGACUCCUACGGGAGGCAGCAGUAAGGAAUAUUGGUCAAUGGACGCAAGUCUGAACCAGCCAUGCCGCGUGAAGGAUUAAGGUCCUCUGGAUUGUAAACUUCUUUUAUUUGGGACGAAAAAGGGCCUUUCUAGGUCAACUGACGGUACCAGAUGAAUAAGCACCGGCUAACUCCGUGCCAGCCGCCGCAGUAACAC